UACGUAGGUGGCGAGCGUUAUCCGGAAUGAUUGGGCGUAAAGGGUGCGCAGGCGGUCCUGCAAGUCUGGAGUGAAACGUAUGAGCUCAACUCAUGCAUGGCUCUGGAAACUGGAGGACUGGAGAGCAGGAGAGGGCGGUGGAACUCCAUGUGUAGCGGUAAAAUGCGUAGAUAUCAAGAGGAAUACUCAUUGCGAAGGCGACCUACUGGAACAUUACUGACGCUCAUGCACGAAAGCGUGGGGAGCAAACAGG
rnacentral:rRNA from 1 species